AACACUUUUAAGUAACACUUUGAUAUAUAACACAUUUUAAAGUAACACUUUAGAACAAGUAAUUUUUUUUAGAGUACAAUUUUUUUUUUUUUUUUGAAAAUGAGCAACGUUUUUAAUAUAACAUUAUAAUUUUCUUUUUUAUUAAUGUCUUUUAGAAGUAGUUAUACUUACAAAACUAAUUUCAAAUUAAUUGAGUAAUUUCCAACCCAUCAAUUUGUUUUGAGUCAAUCCAAAAUGUUAUGUUGGCGCUUUAUCAGCCAUCAAGGAUAAUACUCCGUAAGUCCACAAAAACACAAUAAUUUUUAAUAUGCAGAGUAUUGUUCUCCUAGGUUUAGGUUAUUCCUCUAAAAAAAGGUUUAUGUUCUUGAAUUCAUUCACCACCUAGGAUCGAGGGAGGUAUUCAUGCACGCACCGCAUGUAGUUCAUUCACCACAGCUCCAAAAUCAAACGGCUUCCAUCGGCGUUCAAUCUUAAUCUUUCUUCCAUACGUGAUUUCAUGCAGGAGGGAGGCAUGGCUGGCAGGCUGUGUAGGUUCUGGCAGGGGGUUGAUGUGCAGGGGGAAAGGCUGAUAAGGGUUCGUCUUUCCCAAUAUCGCCUUCAGUUCAGCUUGGAUUUGGUCUUUUAAAAUCGAUGAUGAAGAUAAUGGAUUAAAGUAGCAAAUAGGCAUGAUGUUUCGGGAAACAUGUUGCAUGGAUAGAGCGAUGGAAUUGAAGAAGAAGAAAAGAAAUGAUCUUAAGAUUGAUUUGGGUUUAUUUUAUGAGAUUUAUUUAUAUUAUGAUUGGAUGUUCAAAUUAACUAUUUAUAUUUUGGAUGCACUAGUAUGUUUUCAAUAUAUGAAUACUAUUUGGCUCA